GAGGUCUUGCCCUAGCGGUUAAGGCGUUCGAGUAACACUUUUGAGGUCCUGGGUUCGACUCCCCGUGGGAGCG